GAUGAACGCUGGCGGCGUGCUUAACACAUGCAAGUCGAACGAAGCACUUUUAAUUGAUUUCCUCGGAAUGAUUUUACUUGUGACUGAGUGGCGGACGGGUGAGUAACGCGUGGGUAACCUGCCUCAUACAGGGGGAUAACAGUUAGAAAUGACUGCUAAUACCGCAUAAGCGCACGGUAUCGCAUGAUACAGUGUGAAAAACUCCGGUGGUAUGAGAUGGACCCGCGUCUGAUUAGCUAGUUGGUGGGGUAACGGCCUACCAAGGCGACGAUCAGUAGCCGGUCUGAGAGGAUGAACGGCCACAUUGGGACUGAGAUACGGCCCAGACUCCUACGGGAGGCAGCAGUGGGGGAAUAUUGCGCAAUGGGGGAAACCCUGACGCAGCAAUGACCGCGUGAAGGAUGAAGGUUUUCGGAUUG
rnacentral:rRNA from 1 species